GGUCGUGUGGCAUAGCCAGGCCUAUUGCGCCCGUCUCGUAAGCGGGGGAUCACGAGUUCAAAUCUCGCCACGACCU
rnacentral:tRNA from 1 species